GAUGAACGCUGGCGGCGUGCCUAAUACAUGCAAGUCGAGCGAACAGACGAGGAGCUUGCUCCUCUGACGUUAGCGGCGGACGGGUGAGUAACACGUGGAUAACCUACCUAUAAGACUGGGAUAACUUCGGGAAACCGGAGCUAAUACCGGAUAAUAUAUUGAACCGCAUGGUUCAAUAGUGAAAGACGGUUUUGCUGUCACUUAUAGAUGGAUCCGCGCCGCAUUAGCUAGUUGGUAAGGUAACGGCUUACCAAGGCAACGAUGCGUAGCCGACCUGAGAGGGUGAUCGGCCACACUGGAACUGAGACACGGUCCAGACUCCUACGGGAGGCAGCAGUAGGGAAUCUUCCGCAAUGGGCGAAAGCCUGACGGAGCAACGCCGCGUGAGUGAUGAAGGUCUUCGGAUCGUAAAACUCUGUUAUUAGGGAAGAACAAAUGUGUAAGUAACUAUGCACGUCUUGACGGUACCUAAUCAGAAAGCCACGGCUCACUACGUG
rnacentral:rRNA from 1 species